AUGGAGAAAGUUAGUCACUGGGGGUGGCCUUUGAGAGCUUAAAGGCUCACCCUAUUUCCAGUUUGCUCUCUGUGCUUAGUACUUGCCGUUGAGAGUGUGAACCCUCAGCUUCCUGCUCCUGCCUCCCUGCCUGCUGCUUGCUGCUAUGCCUCCACCGUAAUGGACUCUUACCUCCCUGGAACCGUAAGCUCAGAUAGACUGUGACUGCUCUGGUUGUGCAGCUUUGUCACAGCAGCAGAGAGAGUGCCUCACACAGCUGGGCAGCGGUAAAAUGCAUCCAGAACUCACUAGGAGAGUUCACACUGAAGACACGAGCUAGGGCCUCGUGUCUAGAUGGUUUUUGAAGCUUCAGUAUGAAUGAUAAUUGUGGUAUGAGAGUUUCAAGUGAGGACAGGGGGAAACGGAGACUAGACGUUCUGGGACAAAUCUUCAGGGAAAUUUGAUGUCUCCGAAAGAUGCUGAGUCAGAGAUAUCUAAGAAGAAGGCAGAGAGUGAAAAAUCAAAGAUGUGUAACUAACAUAGGAGGUUGCAAGACAUGGAAGUCAUGGGAAGGAGGAAGUUUCAGGAAGUUGUCAUCACUUGUGGGUACCACUGAGGAGCUCAAGCAAGAUGAUGAGCAGAAGAUGUCAUCUGACUUAUGAAAGUACAUGCCACUUGAUGAGCCCCAUGGAAGUUUUUGGUGGUGCUGGUAGCUGGGUGCCUGAUUGAAAGUGAGUGAAGAUGAGAAAAUGGAGUGAUUCCAUAGCUUAUUCCUGGUCUCUCUGGAAGGUGAGGCUGCUAGUUUUAUUAUCUCAUUUCUCUGUGUGGUGCUUUGAAAGAAAAUGACUCCAAUAUACUCUCAGGGAGUGGCAUUAUUGGAGGUGUGGCCUCGUUGGAGGAAGUGUGUCAUCGGGGGUGGGCUUUGAGAUCUUAGAAGUUCAAGCAGAUCUAGUGUGUCUCAUCUCUUUGCUGCCUGCAGAUCCAGAUGUAGAACUCUCAACUUCCUCUCCAGCACCAUGUCUGCCUGCACACCACAUGCUUCUUGCUGUGACAAUUAUGGACUGAAACUCUGAACCUCAAUGCUAAGAAGGACUGGCAGAUGGCAAGACUCACCACAUUCUGCUUCCUGUGACCAAUGUCUUCUCGAUGUCACACAGCCAAGUGAACUCUGGCAGGCACUGUGUCCUGAUGGAGGACAUUAAAUCCAAAACUGUGAGGUAAAUAAGGCUCUAUUCCUUAUGGAAGACUCAGACCCUGUUAAUUCAUUAUAGUGAAAGGAAAUAUAAGAAUGGGGAGAAAUUUAUGUUUUUAUGUCAUGCUCAACUUUGACAUGAUUUGAAGAAUUAUUCUUUUUUUUUCUGGCAUUCCAUGUUAGGAAUUAGAUUAUACUCAAAUAAAAGUAAUAGAAUUCAGUUUCUUCAUGUUAAAAUUGGUAUUGAUGAUGAGAUAUCUUACUUGGUAAGAGAUGACUUGAAAGAAAUAUCAUAGUCAUCUUCAAAUGCUUUACUCCAUGGGAAAGAAAGAAAGACUAGUGGGCAGAAACUCUGAGAAGAUGCACAUCGCCUCAUGAGUAAGCAAAUUCUAAUAGGUUUUCUGUAACACAAUAAUAGGUUUCUCGCCAAUGGAGUAAACCAGGUCAAGCUGAAUUGAAAAAGUAAAAGAACAGGUUUAUUCAAGCAAAGCAACUCCCAGGUAAGUUUUCCAGUCCCAGAGAUAGGUAGGAGAAGUCACAUGCCUGAACUAAAGCAAGGGUUUAUAUAGCCUGUAGGCAAGGGGUGAUGACGUAUUCACCACAAGCUGGGUUUGUGCCCAAGUAUGGUCAAAAACUGAAUGCUUUAGGAAGGGACUUGGGCUGCUGACAACUUCAGAGCAGGAGCCACCAUAGCCAUCAAGAAUGCAGAACUGGACUUUUUGAUGCCUUUUCUUUGUUGGAGAUUCUCUGAGAGCGUGGGGUUUGGAGAGAGAUAUAGGGCUUCUCAGAUCGUGCUGGAGGGAGCUGGAGGUUCCAACCAAACAAAUCCUUACAAAGAUUUCUGAAGUUCCAAAUAGGCUGCCUUGAGGAAUCAGUAAGCUCUGCAGCUUUGGAGCUUGUCUCAGUCCAUUCUCUGCUUCUCUAACAGAAUGCUGGUAGUUUUAAGUGGCUGAGGUUGGUAGAGUGUUUGCCCAGCAAGCACAAAGCCUGGGUUCAAUCCCCAGUACCACUUACCAUUUGUGAGGUGGAGGCAGGCAGACCUGCUUCAGUGGGGUCCCAAAGAGGGGUGUGUAGAGACAGGGGAUGGGUGUAAGGAGGUGAAUCAUUAUGUCUGCCAGCAUCAUUUAUUGAAAAAACAAUAAUACAUUUUUUAUUACACAUAGAAUUAAAGAGGAGAAAAGAGGCAUGUGAGCUGAGGUGUGACUUGAGAUCAGAGGUUGAGGAAUCUACCAUUGACCUUGACAACAGGCACUAGUCAUAUGUUAACGAAAGGGCCACAAGAUCCUCUUGCCAGAGAUAAGAAGAUGACUGCUUUAACAAGCAGCAACUUUCUUCAAGCCCUGGAGGGAAUGGAGGCCCUUAUCCAAAUGCCGGACCUUGGAGAAAGGAUUCUUUCUGGAGACCAGACACUUGUUAAUAUUCUGAUCCGCCCCUUGAAAUCCCACCCCUUGGCACCACCCUCCAUCCUGAUGUUAAAGCUUCAUUCUAAGGAAAAACUUCCUCUCCCUCUCCUCCACUUUUCCUCUCACGAGGUGUGCACCCUAGACCUCUCUCUCUCUCUCUCUCUCUCUCUCUCUCUCUCUCUCUCUCUCUCUCUCUCUCUCUUCUCUCUCUUUCCUAUCAUCUCUUUCCUUCAUAUGGUGUGAGUCCUUCCCAUCGUUUUUAAAAUACGACGUUGGUUCCCUGACUGAGAAGGCUUUCUUGGCAGUCUGAAAUGUGCUGGGACGCUGGAACCUAGUCCCCCAGGACCAGCCAUACUUUUCCACCUAAUGGAUCGGAUUGCUGGGACUUUCCAUUCAACACUGACAAAUGGUAAGCCCCCCACUUCUGGCCAUUUCCCACUAAUGAGGCUUUGUUUCUUAAGCACAGUCCUCAUCUUCUGGCUUUUCUCGAAGUCCUGGUAGCAGGCGACAGUGUCUCACUCGGGCUCCUAGCCCAUCAGCCCCUGCUUUUUUGGAUGACAGUCCACUGAAGCAGCUUGUGUCUUCUCGUUGGUCCUCACUGAAUCUAGAGAUUCCAGCCCUUGGAUAUCCUGUAACUCAAUGAUGGAAAAUGCACCUACCUCUAUAUCUAGCAUCUGAUUUAAGGGCUUAACUUCUCCACCCUUGCGGUCAGACUUGGCCCCAUAAAAUGGCCGCUGUCCAGCACCCUAUAUUCAUAGGAACUUCGUAACUUCUGCCAGCGAUUCCAUAGAUAGAAAGGGAUGCCUGGCUUUCAAGCUUUCUCUUCUCAAGUCCCUACUCCAAUGUAGCCUUUCAUUUUUUCACUCUGCUCUCCCACUCUCUCAGACCUUUAGCACUAACUCUGUUGUAUGUGGUGUGUUUUUUUAGUGGCGUACCGUGGCGGGCCCACCAAAGGUACCCACUUCAUGCUAGGAUCCUACCCGCCUGCUCCACCCGCAGCAGAUCUGCUCUUUAACCCGCAACAGAUCUGAUUUCUGAUCCACUCUCUUCCACUUGUAAUAAAUCUGCUUUCUCAUUCACCAAGAGCUUUGCCCUCCAUUCAAUACCUAGAAUUGGGUCUCUGGUGAGUCCACCUGCCUCUGACCAUUCCCCUAGAUGUAAGGCUUCAUUUCUCAAGCACAGUCCUCUCCUCGCCUUCUGGCUUUCUUAAAGUCGUGGUACCAGGUGACUGUGUCUCUCUUGGGCUCUUAUCCCUCAGCUCCUGUUUUUGCGUGACCAUGCACUGAACAGCUUUUGCCCACUUCCUCAAGCUACUGGCCCAGCUCUCGCACUUUGCUCGGUGGAACACUGAACAACUUGUGCUGUUCCCUCUGCCUCAUCCUUGGGCACUGUGUCAUACGCCUCCUUGCUCCUUGCUCUCUUUUGGAGACCCAUUGACCAUUCUUUGGACCAGGCAGUUGGGGAACUGAAAAAGAAUUCUCUACUUUCUUCCCUUUUCUUUGCUCCAAGACCUGCUUGUGUCUGUCUGCUCUCUCUGUAAAUGUUCUGUUUGCUGCAGUGUGUGAAUCAGAGAUGGAGAAGUUGGCCUUGUCUUGCACACACUGGUUCUCCCUUUCUAUUUACUCAACUCCUGUUUAAUUCUGUGUGUAUGUGCAUGUAACUAUUAACAGCAGCCACGUGGCUCUCCUCCAUCUUGGCUGGUGGCCUCAUCAUGAUUUCUUGUGAACUCCAGGGAGUCGACUUGGAUCUAUCUGAAUAGCAUCUUGCUAGGUCCAAGCGAAGCCAGAUGGUUCCACAGAGCCUGGACAGUGAAGUCAAACAGCCAGCUACCCCAGGACAUGGCCAGCACCCUAGUUUUCUCAGGUCCCACAAAGAUGAUCGAUGCCCCCCAGGCCAGCAGAAAGAACACAGCGCCCUCAUUCCUGCCUCACCUGCUACCCUUUUCUAACUCCUCACCUUUUUAUAACAAACAAAAGGGAGGAAUGUGAGUAUUUAGGCAUCUGUACUGGCCUGCCCUUAGGGUUCUGACAGGAUAUACCUCAGCUGCAGUCACUAAGAGCACCCUCUGUGCACAUUUGCUAUGUUUCCUUAUAAAAGGUGGGCCUUGUACACCUCCCAUCUCUCUCUCCUUUCUCUUUCCCUUCCUCAUCCCCAGGGACUGGUCCCUGCCCCCUUCUCUGCCCCUUCUCUCUCCCCUUCCCUCGAUAAACCUCCAAUAUGGGCCCUGCUGUAUGGUGUGACUCCUUCCUAACAUUUUUAAUGUACAACAUUGCCAUGUGGAUGCAGCAUCUGGGUUGUGAAUUACUGGCUGCCACUGCCGCCACCAUGCCCACAUGGUGUGCAUUUGCGCAGCCCGCAACUGCAUUUGCCCAGCAUGUUUCCCUGCAUGUAUGCAGGAUACUCUCGGGGUACACCUUAGCAAUAAUUCAUAACAUUGGUGCCCAAUGUCACCAGGCAAUCCCACUGCUUUCUCCUGCCCGCCAGCAAUCUGAGGAGUUCUGGGAUCUUUUACUACCUACCAUUUUUCAGGCUAGAGUACUGCCAGGGACUCUUCACUCUAUCUGAUUGGUAAGAUUCCUCCUUUCCCUUCUGGCCAUUUUCCCAUAAGUGAGGACUCAUCUCGUUGCACUUACUGGUACCACAUGUCUUUUAGGCUCUAGGCUCCUUAGCCCCCAUCUCUAUGUGAUGGCAUAUGGAAACAACUUGUGCUCACUCAAUUCCAGGGCCCAUAGUCUUUGUUAUGAUGCUCCACUGGCUAUCUUGUGCCAUUCAUUAGUCCUUGCUGACUAUGGGAUGCUAAAGGUCAGAUUUGUCUUGUUUCGCUUGCUGGGACCACAUGUCUUUGGGGCUCGUGGCCCUUCGGACCCCUGUCCCCAUGCAGCAGCAUAUGGAGACAGCCGGUGCCCUCUCGAUUCAAGCCUUUGUAACAGUGGUCCAUUGGUCAUCUUGCACUAUUAUCAUUAGCCCUAGCUGACCCUUUGGGAUGCUAGAGGUCAGUCCUUUGGGCCUUAUACCUCAUUAUGGAAAAAUGCACCUAUGACCCCGCCCCCACCACUGCUGCCAACCCAUGGCUUGGGCUCAUUCCCCUGCAGCUGCUCGUACCAUGCUGUAGCCCAGGAGUUCCUUCUGUCCUGACCAGCUGCUCUGCUACUUCUCCAUCUUUCUUUCACAAAGUCUAUUUCCUAUGUAUGAAUGGAAAGGUAUGAUUGAUGUGGCCAUCUAUAUUUCUUUCUGACUGACCUUUAAAUGUUUCAAUUUAUCUGUUCCUUGUCUGCUCAGUUUAUUAAAAAAAAAAAAACCACAUGAACACAUGGUCAGUCACCAUAUUUGAUAGGGGCAAUCACGUAAUCAGGCAGUGACAUCUUAAAUAAGGGCAACCACAUGGUCUAGCUGCUAAGAUCAAAACAGGCAGGUCAGAUGACCUCACCACCAUCUUUACUAAGGGCAGCAUGGGUGGGGCACCCGGCACUCAGGAUGUUGGUAUGGAGAGAGGUUAGGGAAUCGCCUCCUGCUGCGCAUUGUUUCACCAGCCAAGGAAAAGUCCUCUGGCCUUGGCCUGGCAUUCCCCAGCUGCCUCUCUUAGGCUCCAGCUGUCUGGGCAGGGCAGAGGUCCAGUCAUGAUCUGGCCUUUAUUCCUAUGCAGCCGCUCAUGUAGGCAGGGCCCAGAGACAUAUGCGCUCCCCUCUGGGGCAUCAAUGAAACCACAUGCAGGUGGUAUCAUUAUGUUAAGAUUUUAAAUUUCAGAUUUUAAUAUUAAUACAAUGCUGAUACAUUCUGAGUCACAAGCUCAGGAUUUUAAAUUUUCCUUGGUUACUCAUUACCUCUUUUUUUACAAUUUGGAUUUCAGUACUGAUUGAUAAUACUAAUCUAUCUAAAACUUUUAUUUUUUCCUCACUUGUCUAUUCCUGAGGAUAGUAUUUCUGUCCCUCCUGAUCUUCCUUUCCCAAUCACUAAGACCAAGGGCCAAAGGGUUCCAAAUAAAUUCAUACAUUUUAACUCUCAUCUCUAGUCUGUAUUUCAGCAGGCUGGCAGAAACAUCAAAGCAGCAGUUGUGGACCACAACCUGCAACGUUUUCCCUGCUACGGAUGUCAGCCCAGCCAAACGUAAUUGUUCCCUGCUUCUACAGGCAGGUCAGACAACCAAAUGCUUCUGAUAAAUGCCCCAUUGCCCAGCCUUUGACUGGCCUUUCAGCAUUCUGGGGGGCCCUGACAACCAUAUCCAAUGCUAGCUCAAAGCAGUUCCAGAAGAAAAUACAUCGUCCCAUGUCCCCUGUCCAGAAUAGGCUGAAAUGCUGGGUCAAAAGGAAACCUCCUGGCAUAGAGGACCAAUUAGCUAUCUAAUGCCCAUUGAUGUUUGUUAAUUAAAAUGGUUCUGCCCUAAGUUAAACACUUGACCUUUAUGCAGAACCAGGGAGGUAUUAAAUAACAUUAAGAAAUUAUUAUUUGUAUAUAAAUCAAUCAGGAUGAAGUUUCUGGUCCACCAAGAGGGUCCUUUUUCUCUUCUCAGAGGGUCCUUUUCUCAGAGUUGGGCUGCACCCUGACUCACAAGCCCCUUUUCUCCUGUUCUCAUUCAGCCUUGGGAUCUUUUCCCCUGUCACUCUUCUUUGCCUUCUCAGGAGACAGAAACCCUAGCCUCAUGGAAGCUGCUAAGAUAUGGGAGACUUAGGGAAUAGCAGUCAACAGUCAGCCUAAUAGACAGGCAGUCCUCAAAUGCUGAGAGAUCUGCAUUUAAAAUGUUAAUCAAAAAAAGCUUAUUAUAUCAGACAGAGACUCCCAGAUAUAACAGUAACCCAAGGUCUCUGAAGAAGAUGUCUCCAUGUGGAUGAUGGCAACAUUGACCUCUGGGCAAGUUUCCCAAAUGUGACACCUGCCACCAGGACCCAACCCAGACUGUGGACAAACAGCAGGACAUCGGGAAUUGAUUGCACCCCUUUUGCCUAGAUAAAAUAAGCUCAGUCUCCCGUGUGUCCCUCUUCCCCAGGAAAAACUCCCACCUCAUAGUCCUGAUGGGUCAAAGAUUGGUGCUGUUCUGAUACUUCCCUAGAGACCUGCGUAUGGCUAACUGGGUAUGGACUGGUCCCUGUCCUUUUUAACAAAUUUGAAAGCUGCUUGGUCUGCACUCAAAUAUGAUUUUUCCUUCUCAGAUCUCUGAUUCCAUUUGAUGACCAGGGUUUGCUUCAACUGCUUUCUUGGUUCUCUAUAUAAAAUUCACAGGUCCCCUUCUCCUAGGGCUACUACUAGGUCUAGACAUAAUUUACCUUGUUACCAGAUCAGAUAAACUCACAGAACACAUUUUAAUGUAACUUUUUACUAUUGACUGCUCUCCGUAUAUCCUGGUUUGUUUACAUGAAGAUAGGAAAUCUGACUCACUUCUUAAAUUUAUCCUUCUCAUAUCUGAUGAUGUUUGAUGACUAGGGUAUCACUUUAACAGCCCCAAUUCCAAGAUUUUAUAUAUAUAUUCCAAUUACAGAAUUGGAAGUCUCAUUCAUAGACUUCAUGGAACAGGAUAGACCAGUUUCAGACAUAACUCCAGAGGUUCAAAGUUUUAAUACUGAUAAGCUGAUUAAACUUUGAUAAACUGAUAGAACAUUGACUACAAAGAGUUCUUAAGAGUCCUUAAAUGGAUUUUUAGCCCUUUUGCCAUGAUGUAAAUCCAUUCCAGCUGUCUUACAGAUACCUACAGGCUCCUGGGAAAAGUUUUGCUACUGCAUCAAAAAAUGGAUCUGAUAAAAAUUAUCAAUCUCCAGAGCCCAUUUCUGACCCUACCUAUUUUUCAAGCAUAUUUUGCAGAUUCAUUGUUAUUGCCUGACCUCCAGAGAAACAACAGAUGCCAUGGCUUCUAUACUCCUGAUUUGGCAUGCCAUUUCCCCCCAAGCUCCUGGAACACCACUGCUGCAACCUGCCUCCUCGGCUCCCUCAAGGAACGGUCCUGAGAUCUGCUGUGCAUGACUCCCCCCAGUUCCCCCCUCCCCACUUUGCCCUUGUCAGCUUGAAGUAGCCUCGAGAAUUCAGCGCCCUUGUUCCCUCACUUGCUCCCAUAACUCACCUCUUUUUAUAAUAAUCAAAACGGAGGAAUGCUAAUAUUCUGACCCACCCCUUGAAAUCCCACCCACUUGGUGCCUCCUGUGUCCUGACAUAAGAGCCUCCUUCUAAGGAAAAGCUGCUCCCCUUCCCGUCACUUCUCCUCCCAUGAGGUGAGCACCCUUGACCUCUCUCUUCUCUCUCUUUCCUAUUUUUCUCUUCAUCUCUCUAUUAUAAUAAACUCUCCAUGUGGAUACAGCA